AGCUUUGAGCAGUGGCAGUAUCGUAGCCAAUGAGGUUUAUCCAAGGCGCAAUUACUGCUAAUUGAAAAUAUCCCUUUGUGUAAUCAGAGCUUCAUGCUUCUAUUUCACUUGGUUCCAAGUGUGCAGUCACAGACUCUCACCUUUGUCAAACCUAUACCAUUCCUCUUUCCUGCCACAAUUCCCAGGCCUCCUGGUUCUUUCAGGACAGAACAGACAAUAUUCAGAAUUAACAAUGGCGA
rnacentral:snRNA from 13 species